rnacentral:rRNA from 1 species
UACGUAGGGGGCAAGCGUUGUCCGGAUUUAUUGGGCGUAAAGAGCUCGUAGGUGGUUCGGUAAGUCGGAUGUGAAAUCUCCAGGCUCAACCUGGAGGGGUCAUUCGAUACUGCCGUGACUAGAGUUCGGUAGGGGAGUGUGGAAUUCCUGGUGGAGCGGUGAAAUGCGCAGAUAUCAGGAGGAACACCCGUAGCGAAGGCGGCACUCUGGGCCGAUACUGACACUGAGGAGCGAAAGGCGUGGGGAGCGAACAGG